rnacentral:rRNA from 1 species
CAGUCGCCGCGGUAAUACGUAGGUCCCGAGCGUUGUCCGGAUUUAUUGGGCGUAAAGCGCGCGCAGGCGGCCUAUCCAGUCUGUCUUAAAAGUUCGGGGCUCAACCCCGUGAUGGGAUGGAAACUAGUAGGCUAGAGUAUCGGAGAGGAAAGCGGAAUUCCUAGUGUAGCGGUGAAAUGCGUAGAUAUUAGGAAGAACACCAGUGGCGAAGGCGGCUUUCUGGACGAAAACUGACGCUGAGGCGCGAAAGCCAGGGGAGCGAACGGGAUUAGAUACCCCAGUAGUCCCUGUCUCUUAUACA